CUUAACUAGUUCUAGUUUAUUUGGAGCAUGGCAGAUGUGAUUUCUGGAUGGAUAUUGGUUGAGAUUUUUUUUCAAUCAACUGCUGUUUUACUCCCCGCUUGGUGCGAUGGUGCCACCGCUGCCUGCUGGGAUGACUGGAUCUACCCUGGUGCCAACGACUAUUCGACAAUAUGCUGAAUGCCAAGACCUCCUUGCGAAACUGUCAGACACUCUCCCAGAUGAUUGGAUUUCCACACUCCGUGUGAGAUUCUAUCACAAGUCCCUGAUUGUGUGGCUAACAAAUGCGGACCGAAUUAGGUGCAGGGAUUGAACCGAUCCGUACAGUUUCCUACCAUUUAAGCUGGGCAAGCACUUAUCAAGCUGCAGCUGGCAGUGCACCGGAUGAAUUUUGCACAUGGACAUGAAGUGCAUCAGAGAAGUAUUAUCUACGGAUGUGGAGAGCGAGGGUAAGAAUGUGGAAAGCCAUCAGGGAGGUUGCCAAGUGAAAUGACACGACAUCUGCAAAGGUGCGACUAGUUUAAUGUUACAUGUUUAUUUCAGUUCAUCAGCUCCUAGCACAUAUCUCAUUUAAUGUGUACCUGCACUUCUAUAUGCUUAGUCGUUCACAUAUCACAAAUCUGCUGGAGAGGGAUCGC